UACGAAGGGGGCUAGCGUUGCUCGGAAUCACUGGGCGUAAAGGGUGCGUAGGCGGGUCUUUAAGUCAGGGGUGAAAUCCUGGAGCUCAACUCCAGAACUGCCUUUGAUACUGGCGACCUUGAGUUCGGGAGAGGUGAGUGGAACUGCGAGUGUAGAGGUGAAAUUCGUAGAUAUUCGGAAGAACACCAGUGGCGAAGGCGGCUCACUGGUCCGGUACUGACGCUGAGGUGCGAAAGCGUGGGGAGCAAACAGGG
rnacentral:rRNA from 1 species